rnacentral:rRNA from 1 species
GACGAACGCUGGCGGCGUGCCUAAUACAUGCCAGUAGAACGCUGAAGGAGGAGCUUGCUUCUCUGGAUGAGUUGCGAACGGGUGAGUAACGCGUAGGUAACCUGCCUGGUAGCGGGGGAUAACUAUUGGAAACGAUAGCUAAUACCGCAUAACAGUAGAUAUCGCAUGAUAUCUACUUGAAAGGUGCAAUUGCAUCACUACCAGAUGGACCUGCGUUGUAUUAGCUAGUUGGUGAGGUAACGGCUCACCAAGGCGACGAUACAUAGCCGACCUGAGAGGGUGAUCGGCCACACUGGGACUGAGACACGGCCCAGACUCCUACGGGAGGCAGCAGUAGGGAAUCUUCGGCAAUGGACGGAAGUCUGACCGAGCAACGCCGCGUGAGUGAAGAAGGUUUUCGGAUCGUAAAGCUCUGUUGUAAGAGAAGAGCGAGUGUGAGAGUGGAAAGUUCACACUGUGACGGUAUCUUACCAGAAAGGGACGGCUAACUACGUG